rnacentral:rRNA from 1 species
UACGUAGGGGGCUAGCGUUGUCCGGAAUCAUUGGGCGUAAAGCGCGUGUAGGCGGUUCGGUAAGUCCGCUGUGAAAGUCCAGGGCUCAACCCUGGAAUGCCAGUGGAAACUGCCGAGCUAGAGUCCGGAAGAGGCGAGUGGGAUUCCUGGUGUAGCGGUGAAAUGCGCAGAUAUCAGGAGGAACACCAAUGGCGAAAGCAGCUCGCUGGGACGGGACUGACGCUGAGACGCGAAAGCGUGGGGAGCAAACAGG